GAUGAACGCUGGCGGCGUGCCUAAUACAUGCAAGUCGAGCGAACAGACGAGGAUCUUGCUCCUCUGACGUUAGCGGCGGACGGGUGAGUAACACGUGGAUAACCUACCUAUAAGACUGGGAUAACUUCGGGAAACCGGAGCUAAUACCGGAUAAUAUAUUGAACCGCAUGGUUCAAUAGUGAAAGACGGUUUUGCUGUCACUUAUAGAUUGAUCCGCGCCGCAUUAGCUAGUUGGUAAGGUAACGGCUUACCAAGGCGACGAUGCGUGGCCGACCUGAGAGGGUGAUCGGCCACACUGGAACUGAGACACGGUCCAGACUCCUACGGGAGGCAGCAGUAGGGAAUCUUCCGCAAUGGGCGAAAGCCUGAAGGAGCAACGCCGCGUGAGUGAUGAAGGUCUUCGGAUCGUAAAACUCUGUUAUUAGGGAAGAACAAAUGUGUAAGUAACUAUGCACGUCUUGACGGUACCUAAUCAGAAAGCCACGGCUAACUACGUG
rnacentral:rRNA from 1 species